CCAGAACACUGUCCAUCAAACAAACAUCCAUGUAUCCAAAUAUUGCCAGCAUAUCAAUUUAUCUAGGCCAUCCCGGGGCAGUUUUCGAGUCUUCUCAUCGAUAACGUCCCUAUACCGCCCACGCAUCGCAUUUGACGAGCUCGGAAGCUAGCAGCCUAUUCCACUCCCGCUGUCACUCGAAACGCCCCAAUUCCCAACUACGAUAUCAUCUCCAGUUCCAACCUGAUACGCAAUCGAAUUCGUCUCUCUCGUCCCCUCCAUCAACUAGACUAAAAGUUGGGGACAAAUGAAACGGUUAAAUGGUACGAGCAUCUAACCGGGGGAAAUGGUUUAGAGGGAUAUCGAGACAUGAAGACACUUGUUUAGCUUGAGGAGUCGGAGAACUGGGAAGCUGGCAACGUAAUACCCUGGUAAGUCUUGUUCUGUGUGUGCAUUAUAAAUAUUAUGCGCGGCACAUUUUUUAGAAAUGGUACUCGGAAUUUGCGAAUAGGAAUCGACGUGCAUGCUAUUACUACCUUUUGAACAUCU
rnacentral:sRNA from 1 species